GUGGGAGAAAGUGAGAGAUGGAGGGAGAGAGAGGGAGUGGGAGAUAUGGGGAGAGGAGGGAGUGGGAGAGAGGGAGAGAUGGGGAGAGAGAGGGAGUGGGAGAUAGGGAGAGAUGGGGAGAGAGAGGGAGUGGGAGAGAGAGGGAGUGAGAGAUGGGGAGAGGGAGGGAGUGGGAGAGAGGGAGAGAUGGGGAGAUAGAGGGAGGAGGGGAGAGGGAGAGAGAGGGAGUGGGAGGGAGGGAGAGAGGGGGAGAGAGAGGGAGUGGGAGAGAGAGGGGGAGAGGGAGGGAGGGGGAGAAAGAUGGGGAGAGGGAGGGAGUGGGAGAGAGGGAGAGAUGGGGAGAUAGAGGGAGUGGGAGAGAGGGAGAGAUGGGGAGAGAGAGGGAGUGGGAGAGAGGGAGAGAUGGGGAGA
ensembl:lncRNA